rnacentral:rRNA from 1 species
GACAGAGGGGGCAAGCGUUGCUCGGAAUUACUGGGCGUAAAGGGCGCGUAGGCGGAAUGGCAAGUCGGUCGUGAAAUCCUUCGGCUCAACCGAAGAACGUCGAUCAAAACUGCCGUUCUUGAGGAUUGCAGAGGAGACUGGAAUUCCCGGUGUAGCGGUGAAAUGUGUAGAGAUCGGGAGGAACACCGGUGGCGAAGGCGGGUCUCUGGGCAAUUCCUGACGCUGAGGCGCGAAAGCGUGGGGAGCAAACAGG